GACGAACGCUGGCGGCGUGCUUAACACAUGCAAGUCGAGCGAUGAAACUUCUUCGGAAGUGGAUUAGCGGCGGACGGGUGAGUAACACGUGGGCAACCUGCCUCAUAGUGGGGAAUAGCCUCUCGAAAGGGAGAUUAAUACCGCAUAAGAUUGUAGUUCCGCAUGGAACAGCGAUUAAAGGAUUUAUUCGCUAUGAGAUGGGCCCGCGGCGCAUUAGCUAGUUGGUGAGGUAACGGCUCACCAAGGCGACGAUGCGUAGCCGACCUGAGAGGGUGAUCGGCCACAUUGGGACUGAGACACGGCCCAGACUCCUACGGGAGGCAGCAGUGGGGAAUAUUGCACAAUGGGGGAAACCCUGAUGCAGCAACGCCGCGUGAGUGAUGACGGUCUUCGGAUUGUAAAGCUCUGUCUUUAGGGACGAUAAUGACGGUACCUAAGGAGGAAGCCACGGCUAACACGUGCCAGCCGCCGCUGUAA
rnacentral:rRNA from 1 species